AAUAGAUACCCCGGGUAGUCCACGCCGUAAACGAUGGAUACUAGCUGUUUGAGCGCAAGUUUGAGUGGCUAAGCGAAAGUGAUAAGUAUCCCACCUGGGGAGUACGGGCGCAAGCCUGAAACUCAAAGGAAUUGACGGGGGCCCGCACAAGCGGUGGAGCAUGUGGUUUAAUUCGAUGAUACGCGAGGAACCUUACCAGGGCUUAAAUGUAGAUUGACGUAUUUGGAAACAGAUAUUUCUUCGGACAAUUUACAAGGUGCUGCAUGGUUGUCGUCAGCUCGUGCCGUGAGGUGUCAGGUUAAGUCCUAUAACGAGCGCAACCCCUGUUGUUAGUUGCCAGCGAGUAAUGUCGGGAACUCUAGCAAGACUGCCAGUGUAAACUGUGAGGAAGGUGGGGAUGACGUCAAAUCAUCACGGCCCUUACGUCCUGGGCCACACACGUGCUACAAUGGCCGGUACAGAGAGCAGCCACUUAGCGAUAAGGAGCGAAUCUAUAAAGCCGGUCACAGUUCGGAUCGGAGUCUGCAACG
rnacentral:rRNA from 1 species